GACGAACGCUGGCGGCGUGCUUAACACAUGCAAGUCGAACGAAGAGCGAUGGAAGCUUGCUUCUAUCAAUCUUAGUGGCGAACGGGUGAGUAACGCGUAAUCAACCUGCCCUUCAGAGGGGGACAACAGUUGGAAACGACUGCUAAUACCGCAUGCGAUCUAAUCUCGGCAUCGAGGAUAGAUGAAAGGUGGCCUCUACAUGUAAGCUAUCACUGAAGGAGGGGAUUGCGUCUGAUUAGCUAGUUGGAGGGGUAACGGCCCACCAAGGCGAUGAUCAGUAGCCGGUCGGAGAGGAUGAACGGCCACAUUGGGACUGAGACACGGCUCAGACUCCUACGGGAGGCAGCAGUGGGGAAUCUUCCGCAAUGGACGAAAGUCUGACGGAGCAACGCCGCGGGAGUGAUGACGGCCUUCGGGUUGGAAAGCUCGGUUAAUCGGGACGAAAGGCCUUCUUGCGAAUAGUGAGAAGGAUUGACGGUACCGGAAUAGAAAGCCACGGCUAACUACGUG
rnacentral:rRNA from 1 species